rnacentral:lncRNA from 1 species
AUUGUUUGACAUCAUCUGAUUUUGUUCCAGAUGAACCGAAGUUCAACUUCUCGUUUAAUAAGGAUGAUGGUACCAUCAACCUUGAGACUGCCAGUCUGGUGCCAGCAAACUAUACCUGGAUGUUUUGCUCUAAGUCCAAUGACAGCUGUGUCCCAAAUGCCUCUAAAACAGUCUCUGAAACAGACUCUAAUUUUUCCUGCAACAAGCCGAUCAAGAGCUCAGUGAGCAAAGACGUGGUGAAAGGAGACCAAUUCAGGUUUUGCCUGACAAACUCAGUUGGAUCCUGGUGCCAAACCCAUUACCCAGUAUUCUCUAAAGGGGGGCUACCUACUUAUAACAACAUGAUGGUGCUAAAAGUAUGCAGUUUGCUUCUGCUUCUGGCUUGGCUGUAGCCAGUAAAGUGCUCAUGUACCUCAUCAAAAAUAAGCUCUGUUAUAAUGCUAUAACCACCAGACCUUCAGCAAUUGUCACAAUGCAUCGACCACUGUGGACAUUUCUGAGUGAUGAAACACAAAACAGGGCACUGUCACCUGCUGACUGCUGACACAUCUGACUCAGACAUUCUGGAAUCUGAAAAGAAUCUUCUGUAACCAUCAGAUACACAGUGAUCACCUAUAUAACAUUUUAUCCAUACAACAUGUCACUUGAUAAUUUAGAGUAAAAUGGACAGUCUUUAUAUUUUAUUUAAAUAUAGGAAGAGAUUUAUACUUAUAGGUAGGAUUGGAAAACGUAAUAAGCCUAUGUUUGAAACAACAGAACACAACAAAGUGUUUAAAAAAACAAAGUUUUUUUUAGUUAUAUAAGGUGUAGAUAUACCCGCUCUAGAUUUAUUCAAUGUAUAACAUUGUUACAUGGAAAUAAACUUCUUCCUUAAGUAAAACUUUUUCAGACACAUCAAGAUUUUUUUCUUGGGCUUUCUCAGUACAUGUUAAUGGAUUUUUCUUUUAGAGUGGAUUGUAUUGUGACAUGUUGAAGUGUUAUACCUGAAGUACAAUCAGUUUUAUUCAAUAAAGAAAAAAACCUGCUGUCCAGUGUACUGACCUGAACACCGCAGUUUUGUGUAUCCCCUAAAUCUUUCUGAAUAUAGCUUUAUUUUCAGUGCGGGUCUGCAGCGGUCGGUAGCUAACAUGAAGGCGACCAGAUGACAGAAAAAACAACCACAACAGACUUCACUUGUUUUCCGGAGCUCUGGAUAGAUUUCUCUUACAGAUACAAAGGUUCAACACUCUCACCAGCGGCACAGCCCCGCCCACAAAAAACCCUCCUUAAAUAGCCACCGAUCAUACCACCAAUAAAAUUUAAGAGAUUCCCCCUACACACUCUAGCUACAAAUAAACAUAUACAGUGAAAUAUAUGACUACAAACUCCAGUUAAAUAAAAUAGAAACUAGCUAAUUCAGCCCACUCCCACCCUCAGCUCUCAUCUAAUGGUUUACCCCAAUUCCUUUCAGGUGGAUGUCAUUAGCCUGUAAUCAUGUGUGCACUCCGUGAAUCAGCCCUUCAAUAAGUUGCCCUCAAAAGAGAGAGUGGACUUCAAAAUAAAAGCAUAACAAAACCGAAACUUCCUAUCAGACAUUGCAAGUGUGUGCUUCACCUUAGUGAGGGAGAUGCUUCCCCACCACCCACACAGGGUCUUUUAGCUCACUUGUAAUAUUUUCCUGCUCCCACUUGAUCCACCACUGUGUGAAGCCUUGUGAUGAUCUCACUACUAGUCUGCUGCUGUUUUGAGUGGAUAUCCACACACUAGGGGAUGCCAGAGGUCAGAGUUUUCAUGCUGGAUAUGGAUUCUGCAUCUAGUGUGUUACCAUGAAUCAUAGACAUUUGAGCAGUAAAUGCUCUUCGUUGCGAGGAUUUUGUGGAUACUUUGGGUAACGUGGUGGAGAAACGUCCUGUUAUAACAGCUGCUCUGUGGACGAUGCGUCCUAUUGUAAGUUUAAAUGCUCUGGAGGCUGUCGUCAGUGACUUCAUCCAUGAGCUCCUAGAAUCAAGUAAUACAAUGAUUCAGCUGUGAUGAGGUUUUACACAUCUGUUUUAGGGGCUGCUGCAAGUGGACACUGAUGUAUACACACAUUCAUAAAUAUGACUGUUGUCUGUGCUUGCUGAGGUGACUAAGCAACUAACUCCAAAGCUUGAACCUACUCACAGAUCCUCACUAUUGUGUGUUGGGAUCUUGGGAAUUAAUUCAUCACAGUUACGGCUAAUAGAGGGCAUGACCUCUCGCUUUUUGAUGCAUUUCUGGCUUAAAUCUUGAGGCCAAGUUACUGAGUAUGGCAGUAAUGGCAUUGGUCUGCUAGUCUGAGAAAGUGUACUAGUGAAGGUAGACUAGUAGCUUUCCCAUGACUCGCUCAAGCUGUUCAGGUUGUGGUCUAUAUAGGCAUGACUGGAGUCUUCUCUAACUGCAUUUAGGCUUGGUACGCGUCUUACAGAUUCUUACUCUACUUCCAUGUGUCACAGAUGCAAGGUCUUACUGUUUCUUCCCAGGUACACACUGGCUCAGUAAAGGUGAGGUGAGGUCUAGUUCUGUUGAUCACUGGUUUUGACCUGUGAGUAAAGGCUGAAGUACCUGGAGGAAGCUAACAUUUACAAUAAGCACUUUCAAAUUCAACAAAGAAAGGCCUUGGAGAGGUCCUUAAUCAGCAAUCUCUGUAAUGUGCACAAACUAGCAAAGUCUUGUAUUACCCUGCACACCCCUGGAGGAAAUGGUGUUCAAUAGAACCCUUCCUAAACCCUUCACUCUCUCCCAGUGCUGCUGAAAGGGGAUUGGGUCUCCUCAACAAAUCUGUCUUUUAAUAAUACCACAUCCCGUCAAAUCAGAUCGGUCCCAAUGACCCAUUCGCCAUCACAGGGUUACAUCUCCACCUAUCAGAGCCACACUUUAAGCAACAGUAAACCAUGGAUGCUGUACAAUCCAGUCCUGCUUUGAGUGCAUCUACAGUGCAGGGAGGUUUGCCACUGCUUCUCUCCCAUCAACCCAGUUAUGGCAAGUUGGCUGUGCAGCAGACAGUGCCUUUUACAUCUGGUAAAUAUUCUCCAGGGCCUGUAACUAAUCCAGUCAGCCAUUUUCAUAGCCUAGGUACUUGCCUUUUCUUCUUCUUGAAUCACAGUUGGGGGUGAUAGUACAAAUGUGUAUGUGUGUGUGUGUGGGGGGGGGUUAUAAACUAUUUCCUGCUUCUCGGUCACUCUUGAAUCCUCUGCAGGACUGGACUAGUCAGGGGAAUAAUCUAUUACUUAUCUAUGCAGCUGCCCUAACAAAGAAGCCUCGUGUUGUUUUCUUCUUGUUAGGACAGCUGCAUGGAUGGGGGGAUUAAAGUGAAUACUUUGAAAAGAAGAACAAAAUGUAAUAUUACUACUUUUGACUUAGACAAAAAAAAAAAAAAAACUAUUUGUACUGAAACUAAUUUCUCCUUUGCUCACAAAUGAAAUCUGGGCCAAAGUGUAUCAUGUUAUCUCUUCUGUAACACUGUAUCUUUAAAAAAAAUGUCUGCACACCUAGAUAAGUGUAGACAAAAAAACCUUUUCAUAAGCAAUUCAGCUGAAGGCCAGCACACUAUGUGCUCACUGCUGGGAUAUUUCUUGAAUUACAAGAUUUCAGUCAGGAAGCCUAUUGGCAGCAUCUAUGCAUGUUUCUAUGUUACCUCAGAAAGAUCUUCCUGAUUAAGGAUUCCACCAGGAAGCAAAACAGAUCCAUUUAGGAGGGACCGAGAGGCACCCUGGGAUAAUUCUCCAUCGCCCGGCAGACAGUUUUUGUGAUCAGGUAAUGCCAAUAUUUCAACCCUGUUUGCAUUCAUCUGUGCUUUUCCUGUGUUUCUAGUUAGAGGUGCUGUAUUUCACCCGUGAAGGCAGUUUACCUAUUAGAUGUAUGGAGUAAGUUACAUUAUCAGUACUAGUAUUAACAUGACUUCACUUUUAUAGCUAAAGACAAGUUGAGUCCUGUUAUUCUGCUUGUGUGUGGAUCACUUUGUGCAGAUAAGGAGCUUUCUUUCUCAAGCCAGUUUCGCUCCCCCGGCUCCCAAGGCU